AUAGCUGAAUUUCAGUCUGAAAUUUGCACAAAAGUGAAUAUCCAAGUCUACAACUGGGCAUGCACACAAAUUAGGACUGCUUUGAUUUAUUGUAAAUGUCAAUCUGUCAAAACUUGACAGAAGGCAGAGCUACCACCAUCAAGUUUGAUCACUUCACUAGUGAAAGACGUGGGAAUAUGGUGAGAUAAUAUCUAUGAAUGCUCAUGUAUUUUCGGAACCAC